rnacentral:rRNA from 1 species
UACGUAGGGGGCUAGCGUUGUCCGGAAUCAUUGGGCGUAAAGCGCGUGUAGGCGGUCCGGUAAGUCCGCUGUGAAAGUCGAGGGCUCAACCCUCGAAUGCCGUGGAUACUGUCGGGCUUGAGUACGGGAGAGGCGAGUGGAAUUCCUGGUGUAGCGGUGAAAUGCGCAGAUAUCAGGAGGAACACCGAUUGCGAAGGCAGCUCGCUGGAACGUUACUGACGCUGAGACGCGAAAGCGUGGGGAGCAAACAGG